rnacentral:rRNA from 1 species
CCUACGGGGGGCUGCAGUGGGGAAUAUUGGACAAUGGGGGCAACCCUGAUCCAGCCAUGCCGCGUGUGUGAAGAAGGCCCUCGGGUUGUAAAGCACUUUCAGUGAGGAAGAACGCCUGGUGGUUAAUACCCAUCAGGAAAGACAUCACUCACAGAAGAAGCACCGGCUAACUCCGUGCCAGCAGCCGCGGUAAUACGGAGGGUGCGAGCGUUAAUCGGAAUUACUGGGCGUAAAGCGCGCGUAGGUGGCUUGAUAAGCCGGUUGUGAAAGCCCCGGGCUCAACCUGGGAACGGCAUCCGGAACUGUCAAGCUAGAGUGCAGGAGAGGAAGGUAGAAUUCCCGGUUUAGCGGUGAAAUGCGUAGAGAUCGGGAGGAAUACCAGUGGCGAAGGCGGCCUUCUGGACUGACACUGACACUGAGGUGCGAAAGCGUGGGUAGCAAACAGGAUUAGAUACCCGGGUAGUC